AACGAACGCUGGCGGCAGGCCUAACACAUGCAAGUCGAACGCCCGUAGCAAUACGGGAGUGGCAGACGGGUGAGUAACGCGUGGGAACGUGCCCUUCGGUUCGGAAUAACUCAGGGAAACUUGAGCUAAUACCGGAUACGUCCGUAAGGAGAAAGAUUUAUCGCCGAAGGAUCGGCCCGCGUCGGAUUAGCUAGUUGGUGAGGUAACGGCCCACCAAGGCGACGAUCCGUAGCUGGUCUGAGAGGANGAUCAGCCACACUGGGACUGAGACACGGCCCAGACUCCUACGGGAGGCAGCAGUGGGGAAUAUUGGACAAUGGGCGAAAGCCUGAUCCAGCCAUGCCGCGUGAGUGAAGAAGGCCUUAGGGUUGUAAAGCUCUUUCAGCGGGAAGAUAAUGAC
rnacentral:rRNA from 1 species